ensembl:misc_RNA Metazoa_SRP Metazoan signal recognition particle RNA
UAGUGUGCUAUGCCAAGCAGGCAUCUGCAAUAAGUUUGGCAUUAAUAUAGUAACCACUUGGGAAGGGAAACCACCAGGUUGCCUAAGGAGGGGUGAACUGGUCCAGGUUGGAAAUGGAGCAGGUCAAAACUCCCAUGCUGAUCAGUAGCAGGAUGGCACCUGUGAAUAGCCACUGC